UACGAAGGGGGCUAGCGUUGCUCGGAAUCACUGGGCGUAAAGCGCACGUAGGCGGAUUGCUAAGUCAGGGGUGAAAUCCUGGAGCUCAACUCCAGAACUGCCCUUGAUACUGGCGUCUCGAGUCCGGGAGAGGUGAGUGGAACUGCGAGUGUAGAGGUGAAAUUCGUAGAUAUUCGCAAGAACACCAGUGGCGAAGGCGGCUCACUGGCCCGGUACUGACGCUGAGGUGGCGAAAGCGUGGGGAGCAAACAGGAUUAAGAA
rnacentral:rRNA from 1 species